GGUGAGCGUUUCUGGUGGCAGGAGGGAAACAGAGAGUCAGUUUAGGAUCUUCUUUGGUCCUGGUCAAGGUGAGUCCAACAGGGGACUGGGCCAUAGGAUAUAGGAUUCUCAGGGGCUAAGGAAAGGGCUGUAAGCAACCAACCGGGAGAAAAUGCAUCAACCCAGAGAUGGGGAGCAAAGGGGUUUUUGAAGAACCCUUUUAAACGCCACGGAAGAGAAAGGGUAACCGUCCAACCCUGUCAAGCCCAGGGAGUCACCCGUGGAGAGAUUUCCAUGUUCUCCUCUCCGACCUGCCCUGCUCUAGCUCAGGAGAGCAGAGACCGGUUAGCAAGACGUGUGAGGAGAGGCAGAAGGACAGGGCGAACAGGGCGAGGGGGACAAAUCUUUCUGGACUUCAGUCUGUACGGUCAGAGCUGGGGAAGGAGGAACACUCUCAACCUUGAAAGAAGUAGAAGUUCCAAUUGUUAACGAGCCUGGAGAUCUUCAUUACUGAACGGGGCCGUCUCGGAGAACAGAGCGACAAGAGGACACUUUCUGCUCCCUUCCCCCAUCUGUGCUUCAGCCAGAUUUAUGAGAACUGACACUGCAGGCGAUGUCGGAGGGUGAAGACGGGGGGGAAGAACUACGGACGAGCUCCUGUUUUCGGGGGCUCCCGGUCUGGGGCAGAGUGCCAACAGCCGUGGAACAACAGAGAAGGCGAGUCACGAACCUGGGAUCCGGGGCCCCAGGAUUUGCGGUGGGGGGAGAGGUCCUCCCGCUCUGGGGUGACGGAAGCUCUCAUUAAGGAGGCGCUGGGGGAUUUGGACGUUCUCGGGGGGAGGGAAGGUGUUUUUAGGGACACUGGCGUAGCUGCGUUCAGUCGGGGAACACGGAUGUGUCUUAGGACGCUCGGUUGCAGGGACAGAAAUCCCGCCUGACCUGACAAAGGCAGGAAGAGCGGUUUUCGGCUCAUGGAAUCCACAGGUUGGUCCUCCGAACAGUGAAGAGGCCUCUGGAAUAUCAGGAAUCACAGAUGCCCAAAUUACCAGGACUCUUUCUCUCUAAUGUUUCUUCAGGCCUGUUUUAUCCUCUCUUAUGUCAAACUGGCUUCAAACACGAUAGCAACAUAACUGCAAGAAAUUCCCAUCUUUUACGUACAUCCCACCCCCGACUGUACCAGAGAGGGAAACCCCAGGUGUCUGGAAUCCAAGCCAAAAUAAUAUGGGAGACUUGUGAGGAUCGGCACUGCCCCGGCCGGAUGUCCCGCGGGCACCUGUAGCCCGACGUGCUCAAAAUCAGCCUCAACCACGUCUCCGUCCUGCCGGUCUCCUCCUCUUCCACUGAGUUGCCUCUGGCCAGAAAUUUCUGAGUCGGAUUCAACUGACCCUGCCUCCCCCCACCCCAGACUCAUCUCUCAGCUUUGCGGAUUCUACCUCUGAAAUAUCAUCGACUCCACCUCAUCCUCCUUACUCCCUGCUCCACGCCCCGAUUCAGAAUUCUCCGGGCCCCUCCCGCUCCAGAGCCCACACUAGCUCACGCAACCCCUCACAGCCGCCCACGACACCAACGUAGUGACUUUGUUCUGUGCCUCGGUGUCCCGUGACGACCGUAAGGCAUCACGGCCGUUUCAAAUCGGGUCUUACACUGUUUUUAAAGCUUCUUGCCAUUUGCACCAUUGUACAUAUCUACACACACACACACGUAUUCUUCUGCACGUCUACACACACCCCCGGUUCUUUAUGAACCCAUUGGCCAAAUUCGACAAGAUUGAGCUAAAAACCCACCUCCUUGAUUAAAAAAAAAAAUCCUUCUCUGACUUCUCCAGCUGUACUCGGCCUCCCACCGGGCGUCUCACAGACCCUCCUGGUGUGCCACUUCCCAUACCACACAGCAGUGGCCUCUUCACGUUUGUUUCCUCCUACCCCCAUGCAGAGACCCACUUUCGGUUAUGAUGAACCUACCUGUUGUACCUAAUGAGUAAAUAUCUUAAUACAUUGGAAAGCUCCAGCACAGAAUAAGCUCUCUUGAUUCCGAGGGGUCCCAAAACUAGCUCAGCCACCUGUCGAAGAGAAGAGUGAUGCGUCGGCUCCAAUGAAAGAGAACUGUCUCCUGACACAACCCACUCCGUGUGUGGAGAGCUCUUGCAGGGUCCUUCCCCAGACUGACCCUUGAAUGCUGCUUUCCGCAUCUCUGGCCGGCGAGCCCGAGCUCUACUCCUUACCACCUCCGAAAGCACUAUCAGACUUCAGAUAGCAGCUCUUCUGCGCCUUGGGCUAAAUAUCAAGCAUUCUUCCAAGAAUCCUCAGAAGGCAGGUUUGAGUCUCGAAGCCUCUGAGCAUGGGUCAACCUGUCUCCGUCUCUCUGGAUCUGUGGCCCUGGAGUUGCUCACGAUACUCAGGUGUGGUUGGCUUGGGAACGGGCCAUCAACAAAGAGUUAAGAAGACUCGUGGGUGGUGCUGAGGGCAUACGUGGUGUUGUCUAACGCGGUCUAGUUUUUCGUCGCCAUGCUUGGCGGUCCACGAUGAAGAACAAAGGAGACAGGUAUUUAUAUUUAUCCAAGACUGGGGAUUGGCAGGCAAGAGGAGGGUGGCCAAGGGCAGAACCACUCUGGAAAUCCAUUCCAGCCCAUCAUACCAUCUUCCUCACACCAUUGUCUCAGUCCCCUCGUUCCUUGAAGGCUGUGGCAUCUAAAGCAAAUUUGUUCAGAUUUUCUGCUCUACAUUCUCAGAGUUUAUUGAUCUGUUUUUUUGUUUAAACAAAAUGUGCCUUUAUU